UGCUUUACCAACAACAACUGCAGGACCAACAACGCCAAAUGCUGAAAAAACAACACCAACUGUAGAACCAACGACUGCAGUGCCAAAAACAACGACUGCAGGACUGACAACGAGAACUGCUGAACCAUCGACAAUUGCUGGACCAAGAGCUUCAACUGCAGGCCCAAUAUCGACAACUGCUUUACCAACAACAACUGCAAGACCAACAGCAACAACAUUAACUACUACCACGGGAUCCACAACAACACCAACUUUAGGAUCAAUAACGACAACUGCUUUACCAAAACCAACUGAUGGACCAGCAACAACAACAACAUUAAAUACUACCGCGGGUUCAACAACAACAACUGUAGGACCAACAACAACCAAUGCAGAACCCACAACGCCAAAUCCUGAACCGACAACAAUUCAUGGAUCUGGAGCUACAACUGCAGGAACCACAACAGCACCUGCAGGAUCAUCGACAACUGCAGUGUCAACAACGACAACUGUAGAUCUCCCUACAGAAAAUAAAGGGACUAUUGAUUUGAGAUUCAGCAUGAGUCGUACGUUUAUAAAAGACUACUUAGAUUCAAGCUCAGCAGCCUAUCAGGUGCUGGCUGCUAAUGUAACAACAGAGGUUAACAAUGGCUUCAAACAUAGUUUUCCUGGAACAUAUUCCGGGAGUACAGUCAACUCUUUUGCUGAGGGAUCAGUCUUUGUGGACAUGACGCUGAUCUUCAACAAAGAAUCUGCUGUUCCUACUGAAAGCCGUGUGGUGCAGGUAUUGAAGGACGCAGUAGAUGAUCUAAUGACCUUCCUCGAUGUGGACACUACAACUAUUGCUGCAGGACCAACUACAACAACUUCAGGACAACCAACCACUGCAGGACCACUAACAACAACUGCAGGACCAUUAACUAUUAUCACGGGACCCACAACAACAACUGCAGGAUCAACAACGCCAACUGCUGAACCAACAACAACUGCUGGUCAAAUAGCUACAACUGCAGGACUGAUAAUAACUGCAGGACCAACAACGCCAACUGCUGAACCAAC